GUGGGGAAUCUUCCGCAAUGGGCGAAAGCCUGACGGAGCAACGCCGCGUGAGUGAAGACGGCCUUCGGGUUGUAAAGCUCUGUUAUACGGGACGAAUGGUACGACGGCCAAUACCCGUCGUAAGUGACGGUACCGUAAGAGAAAGCCACGGCUAACUACGUGCCAGCAGCCGCGGUAAUACGUAGGUGGCAAGCGUUGUCCGGAAUUAUUGGGCGUAAAGGGCGCGCAGGCGGCGUCGUAAGUCGGUCUUAAAAGUGCGGGGCUUAACCCCGUGAGGGGACCGAAACUGCGAUGCUAGAGUAUCGGAGAGGAAAGCGGAAUUCCUAGUGUAGCGGUGAAAUGCGUAGAUAUUAGGAGGAACACCAGUGGCGAAAGCGGCUUUCUGGACGACAACUGACGCUGAGGCGCGAAAGCCAGGGGAGCAAACGGGAUUAGAAACCCGUGUAGUCC
rnacentral:rRNA from 1 species